rnacentral:lncRNA from 1 species
CACAUCAACCACUUAUGGACACCCGAGCCCCGCUUGGACCUCCAAAAAUGAAGGUUGGAAGGUGGAUUGACUUAGAGAUAUCUAAGCUUUGGCUUGGACCUCCAUCAACUUAGUUGGGGAAAGACCGACCUCUUGAAGAUAUCUCAGUUCUGACUAGGAUCUCCAAAUAUAUAUGCUCAGCCAAGACCGACUACAAGGAGACACCCGACCUAAGUUAGGAUCUUUGAACUAUAAGGACGAUCGAUUAGAAAUAUUUCAGCUCCAUUUGAGACUACUAAAAUACCGACCCCCUAGAUCGAUAAGAAGACUUAGCAAAAAGUUGGCCCU